rnacentral:rRNA from 1 species
AAUGGGCGAAAGCCUGACCCAGCAACGCCGCGUGAGGGAAGAAGGUUUUCGGAUCGUAAACCUCUGUCCUUAGUGAAGAGUAAGAGACGGUAGCUAAGGAGGAAGCCCCGGCUAACUACGUGCCAGCAGCCGCGGUAAUACGUAGGGGGCGAGCGUUGUCCGGAAUGAUUGGGCGUAAAGGGCGCGUAGGCGGCCUGUUAAGUCCGGAGUGAAAUUCCUGCUUUCAAGGUAGGAAGUGCUUUGGAAACUGGCGGGCUGGAGUGCAGGAGAGGUUAGCGGAAUUCCCGGUGUAGCGGUGAAAUGCGUAGAGAUCGGGAGGAACACCAGUGGCGAAGGCGGCUAACUGGACUGUAACUGACGCUGAGGCGCGAAAGUGUGGGGAGCAAA